CAUUGUAUGUCGCAUCCCAAAGAGGGGAGGGGAGGGACGCAUCGAGUUCUUCUGUUGUUUGAUGAAAGAUGUUUCGGUUCUCAGAAAUAUUUUCGUGAAUGGUUCGUUUCGUUUCUGAAUCUGAUGUUGAGCGAUGCAAAAAGACAGCUU
rnacentral:ribozyme from 1 species